UGAACGCUGGCGGCAGGCCUAACACAUGCAAGUCGAACGGGUCCUUCGGACUAGUGGCGGACGGGUGAGUAACGCGUGGGAACGUGCCCCUUGGUACGGAAUAGCCCGGGAAACCUGGGAGUAAUACCGUAUGUGGUCGAGAGACGAAAGAUUUAUCGCCAAGGGAUCGGCCCGCGUUGGAUUAGGUAGUUGGUGGGGUAAUGGCCUACCAAGCCGACGAUCCAUAGCUGGUUUGAGAGGAUGAUCAGCCACACUGGGACUGAGACACGGCCCAGACUCCUACGGGAGGCAGCAGUGGGGAAUCUUAGACAAUGGGGGAAACCCUGAUCUAGCCAUGCCGCGUGAUCGAUGAAGGCCUUAGGGUUGUAAAGAUCUUUCAGGUGGAAGAUAAUGACUGUACCACCAGAAGAACGCCCGGCUAACUCCGUGCCAGCAGCCGCGGUAAUCUGAUGGCGCGAGG
rnacentral:rRNA from 1 species